rnacentral:lncRNA from 1 species
GGCGAAUCAAACUAAAGCCUUCAUUCAAAUGGUUAUUCAGCUUGGGCAUUCAUGGAGAGGAUGGGGCGGAUUUUACACAGGUAACAACAACAGAAAGGCCAGCCUGGACUUCAGCCACAACAUAUGUUGUAGAUGGAACCUUUGAUUUAUUUCUCAUCCCUUCAUCUGUGGAACAUGUUCUUCAUCUUCUUCCUUCUCUGGAUGCAAUCCCAUUGGGUGAAGCUACUGGUGGAAUGAUGACAAAGUGGCUCGCAAUUAUCUGGCUGACAUUAGAAUCCAUCUGAAAUGGACACUAAAGGAAGAAUCUAGCAUCCCCAUCUGCAAUUCCAGCUCUGUUUGGCACGGAACCAACUUCACAAAUAUACAUUCCUUUUUUCCCCCCAGUAAAUCCCAUGGCCAAUGAACGCUG